rnacentral:lncRNA from 10 species
GCCGACCCAUGCUGGCUGGGAACGUGUCUCCCGGUGACGCAGCCCCGGGUGGGGAACGUGGUGCGGCGGCGGCGGCGGCGGCGACUGUACGCGCCUCCGCCGCCCCCGAGAGGACGCGCCGUGCAGCGGCUGAGUGGCGGCGGCGGCGACGGCAAACCCGGAGCUGCCGGCCGGCGCGCGGGAGGAGGACGCGGGUGCGGUCUAGGAAACGGAGCUGCGGGCGGAGGCUCCAUGUUGGGAAGCGGCGCCGUUCGUGCUUGUUAGCGGGAAUCCGGGAGCCGCGGGGUGAGCUGGCGGGGGCCGGGCCCUAAGUGAAGAUGGAGGCCCCGCUGCGGCCUGCCGCGGACAUCCUGAGGCGGAACCCGCAGCAGGACUACGAACUCGUCCAGAGGGUCGGCAGCGGCACCUACGGGGACGUCUAUAAGGCCAGAAAUGUACACACAGGAGAGCUGGCUGCAGUAAAAAUCAUUAAAUUGGAGCCUGG